rnacentral:rRNA from 1 species
GAGUUUGAUCCUGGCUCAGGAUGAACGCUAGCUACAGGCUUAACACAUGCAAGUCGAGGGGCAGCAUGGUCUUAGCUUGCUAAGGCCGAUGGCGACCGGCACACGGGUGAGUAACACGUAUCCAACCUGCCGAUAACUCGGGGAUAGCCUUUCGAAAGAAAGAUUAAUACCCGAUGGUAUAAUCAGACCGCAUGGUUUGAUUAUUAAAGAAUUUCGAUAAUCGAUGGGGAUGCGUUCCAUUAGUUUGUUGGCGGGGUAACGGCCCACCAAGACAUCGAUGGAUAGGGGUUCUGAGAGGAAGGUCCCCCACAUUGGAACUGAGACACGGUCCAAACUCCUACGGGAGGCAGCAGUGAGGAAUAUUGGUCAAUGGACGAGAGUCUGAACCAGCCAAGUAGCGUGAAGGAUGACUGCCCUAUGGGUUGUAAACUUCUUUUAUAUGGGAAUAAAGUGAGCCACGUGUGGCUUUUUGUAUGUACCAUACGAAUAAGGAUCGGCUAACUCCGUGCCAGCAGCCGCGGUAAUAC